rnacentral:rRNA from 1 species
UACGGGGGGGAGCAAGCGUUGUUCGGAUUUACUGGGCGUAAAGCGUGCGUAGGCGGUUCGUUAAGUCAGCUGUGAAAGCCCCCGGGCUCAACCUGGGAACUGCGGUUGAAACUGGCGAACUAGAAUCUGGCAGAGGGGGGGUGGAAUUCCACGUGUAGCAGUGAAAUGCGUAGAGAUGUGGAGGAACACCGAUGGCGAAGGCAGCCCCCCUGGGCUGAGAUUGACGCUCAGGCACGAAAGCGUGGGGAGCAAACAGG